AUGUGCUGUUCAGAUCUAGAAGUGCUUUUUGUCAACUGCAAGCCAUUCUAUUCGCCGCGGGAGUUUCACUCGUUCAUUCUGGUGAGCGUUUACAUCCCUCCACAAGCGCACGUAAGCCUGGCUUUACAGAAACUCGCUGACCAGAUCACAGAGACAGAACAACAACACCCGGACUCUGUUUUAAUCAUUCUUGGGGACUUUAAUAAAGCCAAUCUCUCCCGUGAACUGCCAAAAUACAGACAGCAUGUUACAUGUCCCACAAGAGACAGUAAUAUAUUGGAUCACUGUUACACCACAAUAAAGGAUGCAUAUCACUCUGUUCCACGAGCAGCUUUGGGACUGUCUGAUCACUGUCUGGUUCAUCUUAUACCAACCUACAGGCAGAAACUUAAAUCUGCUAAACCUGUAGUAAAGACUGUAAAGAGAUGGACCAACGAAACAGAGCAGGAUUUACAAGCCUGUUUUGACCUCACUGAUUGGAGUGUUUUUGAAGCUGCUACCACCAAUCUGGACGAACUCACAGAGACCGUAACAUCAUAUAUUAGUUUUUGUGAGGAUAUAUGCAUUCCUACCAGGACUUAUUUAACAUUCAACAAUGAUAAGCCAUGGUUUACAGCAAAACUCAGACAUCUUCGUCAGGCCAAAGAGGAUGCCUACAGAAAUGGGGACAGAGUCUUGUACAAUCAGGCCAGGAACACACUGAACAAAGAGAUUAGAGCGGCUAAAAAGACCUACGCUAAAAAGUUGGAAGACCAGUUUACUUCCAACGACUCAACUUCAGUGUGGAGUGGACUGAGAGCCAUCACUAAUUACAAGACACCAUCCUCCUGCACUGAGGCUAAUCAACGACUUGUUAACGACCUGAAUGAGUUUUAUUGUAGAUUUGAAACCCCCAACACCCAUUCUGACCAUCUCUCUACACAACCGUUAACACCUCCUGCAAUCCCCCUCUCCACACCUCCUGCUCUUCAAAUCUGUGAAGAUGAUGUGCGCCAGGUCUUCAGGAAGAACAAAAGAAGAAAAGCACCAGGCCCAGAUGGCGUUACACCAGCCUGUUUGAAAACCUGUGCUGACCAGCUGGCCCCCAUCUUUUCACAGAUCUUCAACAGAUCUCUGGAGUUGUGUGAAGUGCCUUCCUGCUUCAAACGCUCCACCAUCAUCCCCAUUCCAAAGAAACCCAAGAUUACAGGACUUAACGACUACAGACCUGUGGCUCUAACAUCUGUCGUCAUGAAGUCGUUUGAAAAACUGGUUCUGGCUUAUCUGAAGGACAUCACUGGACCCUUACUGGACCCCCUGCAGUUUGCUUACCGAGCAAACAGGUCUGUGGAUGAUGCAAUCAACAUGGGAUUGCACUUCAUCCUGCAACAUCUGGACAAAACAGGGACUUAUGUGAGGAUCCUGUUUGUGGACUUCAGUUCGGCUUUCAACACCAUCAUCCCAACAGUCCUCCAGACCAAACUGACCCAGCUCUCUGUUCCUAGUUCUAUCUGUCAGUGGAUCACCAGCUUUCUGACAGAUAGGCAACAGCUAGUGAGACUGGGGAAAUUCAUGUCCAACAGCUGCUCCACCAACACUGGUGCCCCUCAGGGAUGUGUUCUCUCCCCCCUGCUCUUCUCGCUGUACACCAACGACUGCACCUCAAAAGACCCCUUUGUCAAGCUCCUGAAGUUUGCAGACGACACCACACUCAUCGGUCUCAUCCAGGACGGUGACGAGUCUGCUUACAGACAAGAGGUUGAGCAGCUGGCUGUCUGGUGCAGUCUUAACAACCUGGAGCUGAACACGCUCAAAACAGUGGAGAUGAUCGUGGACUUCAGAAGAAACCCCCCUGCACUCCCCCCACUCACCAUCAUGAACAGCACUGUGGCUGCAGUGGAGUCAUUCAGAUUCCUGGGAACCACCAUCUCUCAGGACCUGAAGUGGGACAAUCACAUUGACUCCAUUGUUAAAAAGGCCCAACAAAGGCUGUACUUCCUUCGCCAGCUGAGGAAGUUUAACCUGCCACAGGAGCUGCUGAAACAGUUCUACUCAGCCGUCAUUGAGUCUGUCCUGUGCACUUCAAUAACUGUGUGGUUUGGUUCAGCUACAAAAUCAGACAUCAGAAGACUACAGAGAACGGUUCGGACUGCUGAAAGAAUUAUUGGUGCUCCCCUGCCCACCCUUCAAGAACUGUAUACAUCCAGAGUGAGGAAAAGGGCUCAGAAAAUCACUCUGGAUCCCUCUUUUUGA
ensembl:lncRNA